rnacentral:rRNA from 1 species
UACGUAGGGUGCGAGCGUUAGUCGGAAUUACUGGGCGUAAAGGGUGCGCAGGCGGUCCCGCAAGUCAGGCGUGAAAUCCCCGGGCUUAACCUGGGAAUGGCACUUGAAACUACGGGACUGGAGUGUGGCAGAGGGAGGUGGAAUUCCACGUGUAGCGGUGAAAUGCGUAGAUAUGUGGAGGAACACCAAUGGCGAAGGCAGCCUCCUGGGUCAACACUGACGCUCAUGCACGAAAGCGUGGGGAGCAAACAGG